rnacentral:lncRNA from 1 species
GAUAAUUGAACUUCACAAAUACAAGGUUUCAGACAUGAAAUUUUACAGUAUAAUAAAAAUAACCUCGGACCAAUUUCCUUUCCUAUAAAAUUAUGACACACAAAGAAAGAGUACAAAGAUGAUCACAGUUUUUUCUUUUAUUUUCUAUGGCAAAUAACAUACUGCAAAUAGGUACCAAACAUGACAGACAGGAACUACACAUAAAAACUUAAAAUGGAAAAGCAAACCAAAUUCUUCAAAAUUGUUUCUUUUUUGUAGGACUAGUUUAUAAAUUAUAAUGGCUAUGAGGGUCUUGUCUGCUGCUUCAUGCCAUCAGAGGGAAGCUGAGCAGAAGAACCUUCCGGCAGCACCAUAGCAGCAGCCGUCAUGGUCUGAUACUGUGAAGGCAUUGUGGGCGCCAGAGGUUGAGAGUAGUAUAUUUGAGCAUGAGCAGGAUCCACAUAAUCAUAAGCAUAAUUAGCCGGUGGAGCAGAAUUUGGGGCUAUGGACUGAGAUGGAUGAUGGAUUUGGGAGUAAGUCACAUAUUGCUGCUGAUGCUGAAGCUGAUUUGCGGGAACCUGAACUAAUUGAGGGCUACCUCCAGUUGCAGUUCUGUAACCUGCUGCUGUCAUUUCAGUUUUAGGUAAAGGAGCAUUUCUCAUGGGGUUGUUGUAAGCUGCAGUUUGAGGAACCAAUGUAGUAGGAUUUGGAGGAGUUUGCGGUUUUCCAGAUUCACCCAUAUUAGCCUGCUGCAUAGACAAGUUGUAAGCUUGGGCUUGUCUUGCAGGUACAUAGUAAACUUGGGCAUGCUGGGGAUGAGUCUGUUGCUGGGAAGGAUAUACAGGAUAAUAUGCAGGAAUUGCAUUUGCCUUUUAAACCUCGUACAAUUAGCAGCUAUUAAUUACAAAUCAUCUUGUACUUAGUGCAUGCUUCAAUACAAUAAAGCAUCGAAUCUAAUACGUUUUGCUGCAACUAACGUCACAUGAAAUUCAGCAAAACCGACAUAAGCAACGUGCACUCUGUUAUGCAAGGUUAUCUUAAUCUUAAUUCUUAAAGUUCACUAGACGUCAAAUUGUCUUAUCAAAUUGUUUCACUAGUCAUCCAUUUGUGUUUUGGUCAAGAAAUUGAUCUGGUUUUCAUCAUAAGUACCUGAAUUUGUUGCUCUUGUAAGCAUCGUAUAGCGUUAGAACUCAGACGCACAAGUUGCCUGAGUGACGUGAUCUGAUUGCAUUCUUGCAUAAUAUGAAAAGCAUGUCAUUGAGUGCCAAUUGAGCACACUCCAAAGCAACUUAAGCAAAAAUAUUUAGAUCUUUGGAUAUCAGUUGACCAACUGACAUUAGUACUUACUUCGAGAUAAAAAGCAAAAUGAAACUUUUCUUACCUUUAAGAAUUGAAAUGAAAGUCAAAUUACAUUCAACUGGUAUUCAAACACAAACUAACACAAACUACCUGUUAUAUGAACAUAAUUUUGGUGUCAGAAUGCAAUUUCAAACAUGCAACCAAACAUGGAUCUGAGAUAAUUGCACUUUUUCUUGUUUGAUCUUUGUAUGAAGUCAUACUCUGCAGCUUGAAAUGAUAAUAAAGGAUCCUACUUGAUCAUAGAGAAGCAAAAAGGGAAGAAUCAUUCUCCCGGCAAUGCAUUUCAAAUUUGGCAUGCUGGUGAUGAUUCAUGAAGUAGAUUUCAUUAAGGAGAAUCAAACUCAACAUUGGCAAGGACAAUUUUGUCUGGUCAUUGGCAGCAAAAUGUAGCCAAUCAGUUGAAAUGUGAUUUUCCCAUAGGAAACAAACAAGAGGUAAAAAUGCCAGCUAAACGUGUUAACAAUUCAUGACUAGGCACAAGCCACUUUGUGGUCCUUCAUAGCUGUGGUCGUACAAAGGACCAGAGCAAGAAGCAAGAAACAAUACCCGCCAAUAUAUAUGACAACCAAUUCAGGAAUCGAUAAUUGAACUUCACAAAUACAAGGUUUCAGACAUGAAAUUUUACAGUAUAAUAAAAAUAACCUCGGACCAAUUUCCUUUCCUAUAAAAUUAUGACACACAAAGAAAGAGUACAAAGAUGAUCACAGUUUUUUCUUUUAUUUUCUAUGGCAAAUAACAUACUGCAAAUAGGUACCAAACAUGACAGACAGGAACUACACAUAAAAACUUAA